rnacentral:lncRNA from 1 species
AUUGAGCACUAAUAAUGCACGAAGAGUUUGCUAAGAACUUUCCUUUAUUAUUUCAUUUGUCUCACAAUUACCUGUAGGUAAAUAUAUCUUAUAUAUCCUGUAUUUCUCUCUUUUUCAAAUGAGAAAUUAAGUCUCAAAGAGGCUAAGUGGAAAACCACCCGUCCUCCUCCUCCUCCCUGGCUGCCAGAGUUUUGGGAGCAAAUCCUGUAACCGUGCAGAUGCCCUCCCUGAGGUGUGUCCCUGCAGCCUGCCUUCAUUCUCCUUGUGGUCAGGGAGAGGUGGCUCCCAGCUCCUCCCAAGCCUUCACUGCAGUUCCAGAGCUUCCAUCUGGACCCUCCCCUCUCAUAGUUUCUGCCCACCCUCAGCCACACGGCACUAGAGCAUGAGCUUCUCGGGGGCAGGACCAGACCUUAUGCAUCUUGACACUCCAUGGUGCCUAACACGUGUUCUUACCAUGGGGGUGUGGUCCUGGGACACGCAGCCCGGCCUCCCUGAGAUCUGAAGGACUGAGGGCUUCAUGCCCCGCUGCUGUGAGUGCUGCCAGCACCAUCCCCUGCCUGCCCUCUCUCUAGACAUUGCCCUCUGCUGAAGGGACCCACCCUGACCAUGGUCCCUGGAGCAGCCUCAGUUGAGUGAUGUACUUGUGAUAAGAGGGCCCUGCCCCUCUCACCCCGAUUCCGCACAACCUU